rnacentral:rRNA from 1 species
CGUCAGGUCGAGGUGUAGCACACGAGAGGGGAAGAAAUGGGCUACAUUUCCUGACUACAGUAAACACGAAUGAUGCAUUGAAAGCAUGCAACUGAAGGAGGAUUUAGCAGUAAGCGGGAAGUAGAGUGUCCCACUGAAACCAGCUCUUAAGCGCGCACACACCGCCCGUCACCCUCCCCAAGACAGUAAAACACAAGUAACUAACCCCAAACACAACACCAAGGGGAGGAAAGUCGUAACAUGGUAAGCGUACCGGAAGGUGUGCUUGGCUAAAU